rnacentral:rRNA from 1 species
UGCGUUUGAUACAUGUGGUGUGUUGAGUGUGGCAGAGAGAUGAAGUGUAGUUUUGCGUGUGGAGGUGAGAAUAUUGUGUAUAUAUGGAGGGGACACACACUGGGGAGGGGGGGUUUUUGGUGCAUGACAGACGCUGAGAUGCGAGAGAGUGGGGAGCGAAACACGAUAAUAUACCCCGGUAGUGCACACGCUAAAAGAUGUAAGUUAGCGGUGGGGCGGGAUUCUAUUCCGUGGGGCAGGAAACGCACACAACAUUCCGCCCGCGGGGGGAGGUCGCAAGAAUGAAACUAAAAGGAAUGAAUGGGGGCGCGCCCGCACGGUCGAGCAUGUGGUUUAUUUAAUAGCAAGCAACAGAACCUUCCCAGCUCUGUACUUUCAUCCUUUGGGCAUUCGAAAAGAUAUCCUUUACUUUGGGGGGCCCCAGAACAGGUGGUGCAUGGUUGUCGUCAGCUCGUGUCGUGAGAUGUUGGGUUAAGUCCCGCAACGAGCGCAACCCUUAACUUUAGUUGCCAGCAUUUAGUUGGGCACUCUAAAGGGACUGCCGGUGACAAACCGGGAGAAAGGGGGGGAGAAGUUAAAUUCUUCAUCCCCCUUUGACGUGGGGUACCCCACUAGUUCCAAGGGUGGUACCACGGGAAAGGAAGACAGGGAGGUGAAGGAAUUCUAAAAAACCCGUCUCAGUUCGGAUUGCAGUCUGCAACUCGCCUGCAUGAAGUUGGAAUUGCUAGUAAUCGCAGAUCAGCAUGCCGCGGUGAAUACGUUCCCGGGCCUUGUACACACCGCCCGUCACACCAUGGGAGUUGGCUUACCCCGGAAAGGUUAGUGGGGGUACCCCGCAAAGAGGCCAGC